AAAGCUACCGAAAUUAGCGACAGUGUAAAAUCUGUACUGUGAGAAUUACAGCUGCCGUACGAAGCGCAGCAUAUUGGAGCGAGCCCAAGCGGACACCAACCAACUGGAGCAAACGUACGCCGGACGAAUGGACGUGGUAGACGCGUUAUGAUUGCAAGGCGAUACUUGCGCUCUGAAAAUGCUAGCACAGAUGUUUGGGCCACAGAGUUUCAGAUAAACCGUUCUCAUCAAUGCCACACCAUGUACGGUCGGUUAGUCACACUUCAUCACGA